rnacentral:rRNA from 1 species
AUUGAACGCUGGCGGCAUGCCUUACACAUGCAAGUCGAACGGCAGCACGGAGCUUGCUCUGGUGGCGAGUGGCGAACGGGUGAGUAAUAUAUCGGAACGUACCCUAGAGUGGGGGAUAACGUAGCGAAAGUUACGCUAAUACCGCAUACGAUCUACGGAUGAAAGUGGGGGAUCGCAAGACCUCAUGCUCGUGGAGCGGCCGAUAUCUGAUUAGCUAGUUGGUAGGGUAAAAGCCUACCAAGGCAUCGAUCAGUAGCUGGUCUGAGAGGACGACCAGCCACACUGGAACUGAGACACGGUCCAGACUCCUACGGGAGGCAGCAGUGGGGAAUUUUGGACAAUGGGCGAAAGCCUGAUCCAGCAAUGCCGCGUGAGUGAAGAAGGCCUUCGGGUUGUAAAGCUCUUUUGUCAGGGAAGAAACGGUGAGGGCUAAUAUCCCUUGCUAAUGACGGUACCUGAAGAAUAAGCACCGGCUAACUACGUGCCAGCAGCCGCGGUAAUACGUAGGGUGCAAGCGUUAAUCGGAAUUACUGGGCGUAAAGCGUGCGCAGGCGGUUUUGUAAGUCUGAUGUGAAAUCCCCGGGCUCAACCUGGGAAUUGCAUUGGAGACUGCAAGGCUAGAAUCUGGCAGAGGGGGGUAGAAUUCCACGUGUAGCAGUGAAAUGCGUAGAUAUGUGGAGGAACACCGAUGGCGAAGGCAGCCCCCUGGGUCAAGAUUGACGCUCAUGCACGAAAGCGUGGGGAGCAAACAGG